CAAGAUGAGCUAAAACCAGCUUGAGAUCUGAGCGCGAACCCACCGAAAUAGUCUGCCCUUCGGUGGGUUCGCGCCCAGAUCUGAAGCUGGUUUUAGCUCAUC
rnacentral:miRNA from 1 species